UUCACCCUUCAGCCAAAGAUUGAACAGGCCCAUGGAACGAAACAAGACUAAAGGGGUGCACCAGCCCUGGGGCAGGCUCUGGAAGGCAGGAGGGAAUAGGAUAGCUGGUAACAGGGAAUCCAGGGUUGAGAAGAGAGAGCGUUGACAUGUCUUGGGGUUAUUAUCCAAUGUCAUACAGCUUUGUGUACUAACUGUUUGAUGAGAAACUAGUUUGUUCUGUAAACCUUCAUCUAAAGCACAAUUUAAAAAAGAAAGGAAAAAAAAGCUAGAAAUAGAAAUAUCAUAUGAUCUAGCAAUCCCAUUCUUAGGAAUAUACCCUAGAGAAAUAAGUGCUGUCACACGAAUAGACAUAUGCAUACCCAUGUUCAUUGCAGCACUAUUCACAAUAGUAAAAAGCUGGAAACAACCUAAAUGUCCAUCAAUAGAUGAAUGGACAAAGAAAUUAUGGUACAUACACACAAAGGAAUACUAUGCAAUGAUAAAGAACAACGAUGAGUCUGCGAAACAUCUCAUAACAUGGAGGAAUCUGGGGGGUAUUAUGCUGAGUGAAAGAAGUCAGUCACAAAAGGACAAAUAUUGUAUGAGACCACUAUUAUAACCCAAGAAUAGGUUUACACACAGAAAAAAAAAUCUUUGAUGGUUACAAGGGCGGAGAGUGGUGGGGAGGAGAAAUCAUUCAGUAGAUAGUAGACAAGUGUCAACUUCAGUGAAGGGAAGGACAACACACAAUACAGGGAAGACAGCACAGCUAAACUAAAGUAAAAGUAAAGACAUUUCGUAAACACAUCCAAACAUUUUGAAGGACUGAGUAUCUGGGGCUGGGGCCUAGGGACCACAGUCUCAGAGUACAUCUAGGUCAACAGGCAUAACAUCACUUAUAAAGAAAAUGUCCUACAUCCCACUUUGGUGAGUAGUGUCUGGGGUGUUAAAAGCUUGGGAGUGGUCAUCUAACAUACAUCUAUCGGUCCCACCCCAUUGGUAGCAAAGGAGAAUUAAGAAAACCAAAGACAUAAGGGAAAUACUAGCCCAAAGAACUAAAGGACCACAUGAACCAGAGACUCCACCAGUCUGAGACAAGAAUAACUAGAUGGUGCCUGGCUACACCAACCAUGGCCCUGGCAGGGAUCACAACAGAGAGUCCCAGAAAGACCAGAAGAAAAAUGUAGAACAGAACUCAAAUUCAUGUAAAAAGACCAGACUUACUGGUCUGAGACUGGAGGAACUCCUGAAGCUAUGGCCUUUGGACACUCUGUUAAGGCAGAACAGAAACCAUUCCGAAGUCCACUUUUCAGACAAAGAUUAGAUGGCCCUAUAAAACAAACAAUAAUACAUAUGAGAAAAGUGCUUCUUAGUACAUUUGAAUAUUCAAGACCAAAUGGGCAGCUCCUGUCCAAAAGCAGGAUGAGAAGGCAGGAAGGGACAGAACCUGGAUGAAUGGACACAGGGAACCUGGGGUGGAAAGGGGAGCAUGCUAUCACAUUGUGAGGAUUGCAACCAAUGUUACAAAACAAUAUAUGCAUAAAUUUUGAGUGAUAAGUUAACUUGAGCAUAAACUUUUACCUAGAGCACAAUAAAAAAAAACUUUAGAAGAAUUCCAAUGUUAAAAAAAUUAACUAAAUUAACAAAAAGGAUAUUCUAGCAACUCCUCUGCCCCGAGCCAGAAACUAGAAGAAAUAAAAUUAUUCUUAGAGGCUACAACCCCGUUUCUCUGAUAGUCUUCGAAUCACUUAUUUUCCGCUUUGUUUCUUUGCUGUUUCAUGUUAAGUGGCUGAAACUUCACUUCUGUUAUACCUCUGGAAGCUUAGGGAUCUCAGAUGGAGAAAAAUGCUCAUUUUUAACAAAUUAUCUUACAGAAAAAAGUUUAGAUGCUUUUCAUGGCGCAUUCUUGACUCAGCCACUCACUCUAUCAUGUCACAUUUCACUUCCACAUUUAGUGAGAGCCUGUGGGGCCUCCAUGAGUCAGAAUCUACUAAAUAACAACUGGUUUUUGGAGUUUCUGGGUGGUACAAAUGUUUAAUGUACUCAGCUUUUAACUGAAAAGUUGAAGAUCUAGUCCCCCCAGAGGUACCUUGGAAGAAAGGCCUAGCAAUCUACUUGCAAAAAAAUCAGCCAUUGAAAACUCUGUGGAGUACAGUUUUACUCUGACACACAUGAGGUUGCUAUGACUUGAUGUCAGCUGAUAACUGUGUGCUAGUCACCAUGCUAGGCAGCUGUCCCAUGUUAUUUUAUUUAGCUCUCUGAACAGUCUAGACCAAGGAUAGAUAUUCAGGCUCAUUUUGAAGAAAUAAAAUCCAAGACUCAAAGUAGGUCAUAAGAUGAGUAAGGGGUGAGCUGAGAUUUGUCCCAGGUCUUUUGCCUCCAAUCUCAUUGUUUGUCACAUUGUAUACAACUAUCUGGUUAUUGUCACAGCCAGGCAUCAGUUUUAGAAGGGACAUUCUGCGUUCAUUCUGUUCCAAGAGGUGCAUAGGAUGCAUUUAUCCAACCCAGUUUGUCAUGUGGGUAAUAUCCAAGGUGAAAUGAAAUCCCAAAAUGUUUCAGACAUUGUUUUAUUCUCAUUUAGAGAAACAACAUCACCUGCCCAGGUGUAGGGCCCCUAUAUCUUCCUUGGAGUCCACACUUAUUAGGGACACUACCUCUUUUCAAGAAGAUCCCCUUAAUUUCCAAAGAGGCUUAUAAAUAAUAGGUACUAGAUCACCUUGGUAAGAACUGGUAAGGUGAUUGUGUAUGAGAAAGAGAACAAUUUGAUCUCAUAAGAAGAAAGAAUGCAUCUAAAUUUAUGUGUCUGAUUUGCGGUAAAUGUGGUCAAAUGUUGGGGAGGGGGAGAAUAUGUGUAACAGCAAAUGAGUAACGAUGAAAAGUACAUCGUAAUUUCUCAGGAUUAUACAUAUACUUUUUUUUUUUAUUGUGCUUUAGGUGAAAGUUUACAGAGAAAAGUAUUUUCUCAUUAAACUAUUAAUACACGAAUUGCUUUGUGACAUUGGUUGCCAACCCCACAAUGUAUCAAUACUCUCAACUUCUCGAUCUCGGGUUCCCCGUUUCCAUUCGUCCAGUUUUCCUGUCCCUUUCUGCCUUCUCACCUUUGCUUUUGGGCUUGUGUGUCCAUUUAGUCUAGUAAACAUGCUUGAACUAUGAGGGUUAUUGUUUGUUUUAUAGGCCUGUCUAAUCUUUGGCUGAAGGGUGAACUUUGGGAGCGACUUCAGUGCUGAGUUAAAUGGCGUCCGGGAGCCAUAUUCUUGGGGUUUCUCCAGUUUCUGUCAGACUAGUAAGUCUGGUCUUUUUUUUGUGAGUUCGAAUUUUGUUCUACAUUUUUAUCCUUCUUUGCCCAGGACCCUCAGUGAUGGUUAAAGUUGUGUGUCAACUUGGCUGGGCCAUGAUCCUCAGUGGUUUGGUAGUUAGGAUGUAGUCUGCAGGUUUUAAUGAUGUAAUCACCUCCAUAAUGAGAUCUGAUAUACUGUGAUCAUCUCCAUGAUGAGAUCUGUUGUGAGCAACCAGUCAGUUGAAAGGGAGUUUCCUUGGGGGUGUGGCCUGCAUCCAAUGUAGGUGGACAAUGUAAGCUCCCUGGCUUUUGUUCUCUCUGGAUCCUGCAGCUGGCUCCUGUUUGUCUGACCUCCGGUUCUUGGGCCCUGAGGUAGCAACUUACCUGCUGUCUUGGGAUUCAUCAGCCUCCACAGCCUUGAGCCAGCGGCCUCCUCUCUGACCUUCUGAUCUUGGAUUCACCAGCACCAGUGGCUAUAAGCCUGCAGUUCAGAAGGCUGCCAGCCACACCAGAAAGCUUUUCCCAAGAAGACCUGAGCUGGGCAGUGCAGCUGCCCAGCGGGAGGAGUGUGGUCUUUUGGAUCAGAAGAUAAGACUCGGGUGAGGCCAACAAUGUACAAAGCAGAGGAAUUCAUAAAGGUACCUCUCCACCCCCGCCACCCCCCCAGUAAGCAUUAUGUUUCGUAGUAUUAAAUGUCAUAACAGGGCCACUAGAUAGGGUUUUGGAGGGCAGCCAGCAUACCUGGAUUUCAAUCCUGGCUCUACCACUUAGAAUGGUGGGCUAAUUACUGCAAGUCUCUGAGGGUCAAGUUCUUUUUUAUGUAAAAUAGGGCUCAGGGCAUCCCCAAUAGCCACUUUAGUCCAUUGUUUAGGACACUGUGUAGUUUGAGUGCCUUCCAACCUAGGGAGCUCAUCUCCCAGCACUAUAAUGGACAAUAUUUUGUUGUAAUCCAUAAGGUUUUCACUGGCUAAUUUUCAGAAGUAGAUUUCCAGGCUUUACUGAGUGAGAAUUAGGUGAGAUGACUCAGAGCUUGGCACAAAGAAGGGGCCAGCCAAUGUCAGCUGGCUUAAUAUUUCUCUUGAGAACUGGUAUUUGGGCCUAAAGACAGUAAUGUCAUGAGGCUACGUCCCCAAAUGUUGUUGUUGUUAGCUGCCAUUGAGUUGGCUCCCAACUCAUGAGGACCCCACAUACAAGGGAAUGAAAUGCUGCCUAGUUGUGUCCAUUCAAUUAUGGAUUGGAUCACCGUGAUCCAUAGGGUUUCCACUGACUGAUUUUUGGAAGCAGAUUGCCAGACCUUUCUUCCUAGACUGUCUUAGUCUGGAAGUGCUGCUGAAACCUGUUUAGCAUCAUAGCAACAAACAAGCUCCCACUGGCAGACCAGUGGUGGCUGUGCCUGAGGUGCUUUGGCUGGGAAUCGAAUUCAGGUCUCCUACAUAGAAGGCAAGAAUUCUACCACUGACCCACCAAUGUCCCUAUAAGUUCCCAAAUAAGCCUUUUAAUUAAUGGAACCUCUCCUGUCCUUCUCAGAAAUGUCUGUGAUAUGCCUCAGUGCUGCUGAGAGUAGGAUGAGUCAAUAUAAACCCCUUACCACUAUUGGGAAAAAAGCUCCAACCUCAUGCUGUACUGAGAACUGCUCAAUGAUAUUAUUCCAAAUGUGACACCGAUUUGGUAUCAGAGUGGUGCCAUCUCUCCAUUGGCAAUUCUUGGAAAGUGCAGGAUGGCCGAGGAUAAGGGAAAAUCUCAGAUAUCAGCAUGAUCACUUUGCAGCUUCACUACCUUCUUUGAGGCUUUCCUGGCCUUUAGGAUUCCCUCAUUUCCCCCCUCAUCUUUAAAUAUGUAAGUGUUGUUUCUAGUUAUCUAAUGUUUAUUAUUUUUCCUACCCCAUCCAUUAAUUCCAUCACCAUCCUGGCUUCCGAAAUUUUUAGGAAGCUUUUCGAACCAUUCUGGUCGAUGGGUUCAAUGAUCACUGUCUUCCUACCAGCAAAAUACAAUGAUUUUCCAGAAUUGUGAAUCUGUGCAUGAAAUGCUCCUUGCAGUCUCAAACGGAAAUCUUCACCAUUGAGGACAUUGAAGCUCAUCUAGUUAAAAAGCAUAUUUAAACACUACGAUAUGCCAUAUAAUGGCAUUGGGAAAGAAGCCAAAGAAGUGGAGCCCACAGAAAUAUUUUAGAAGACAGUGCCUGAACACAAAUACCUUCCUUUCCAUUCUUACUGCUGUCACUUGAGCUGCAGCCAGGGCCUUGAACUGUGUUUUCUGGAAGAAUUUUCAUCAGUGCAACACUAAAUCUCAACCUAUUCUCAAACAACACUAAAGGAAAGCCACAAGGGAGAUCUCCUUGCAGAAGGAAAGUGAUGCUAAAUGACAGCAUAAAAUUGUAGGAAAGAAUAAUGAAUAAAGGAAAGGUACAAAUAAAUUGAUUAAAAAAUACUGAUUUAUAUUAUACCUUAAUAAAUCCAGCAUGUGGAAUCUCUGGCCUCUGAAAGAAUGUCAAAAGAUUGUGUGACUGCCAAGACGUGAAAAAAUGAAAUAGCAAAACUUACGUGAUUAACUCAAAAGAAAGUAAGAAGAAGAAGAUAAGAAACAGCACAGAUGUGACAAAUAGGAAAAAAAAAUAGUAUGAUGGUAGAUUUAAAUCCAAAUAUUUCAGCAAUUAUAUUAAACAUAAACAAUUUUUAAAAUUUAUAUUGUCAGGCUGUAUUAAAAACUACACAGCAGUGGCUGGCUAGUGGAUUAAAAACUACAAGACCCAGCAAUACAAUGCUUGUAAGAGAGCCAAAAAACCAAACCCAGUGCCGUCGAGUUGAUUCCGACUCACAGUGACCUUGUAGGACAGAGCAGAACUGCCCCAUAGAGUUUCCAAGGAGUAUCUGGCAGAUUUGAACUGCCAACCUCUUGGUUAGCAGCUGUAGCACUUAGCCACUACACCACCAGGGUUUCCGCUUGUAAGAGAAACAUCUUAAAUACAAGGGUACAGAUAGAAUAAGCAUAAAAAAAGAAGAUAAGCAUACAAACACAAACCAAAAGAAAGCUGAUACAGCUAGACUAAUAGCAGACAAAGUAAACGGUAAGGUAAGAAGUAACCCUUUACAAUGGAAAGAGGGUCAAUCCACUAGGAAGAUAAAAUAGUCUUAUAUU